rnacentral:rRNA from 1 species
CCUACGGGAGGCAGCAGUGGGGAAUAUUGGACAAUGGGGGGAACCCUGAUCCAGCCAUGCCGCGUGUGUGAAGAAGGCCCUCGGGUUGUAAAGCACUUUCAGUGAGGAAGAACGCCUGGUGGUUAAUACCCAUCAGGAAAGACAUCACUCACAGAAGAAGCACCGGCUAACUCCGUGCCAGCAGCCGCGGUAAUACGGAGGGUGCGAGCGUUAAUCGGAAUUACUGGGCGUAAAGCGCGCGUAGGUGGCUUGAUAAGCCGGUUGUGAAAGCCCCGGGCUCAACCUGGGAACGGCAUCCGGAACUGUCAAGCUAGAGUGCAGGAGAGGAAGGUAGAAUUCCCGGUGUAGCGGUGAAAUGCGUAGAGAUCGGGAGGAAUACCAGUGGCGAAGGCGGCCUUCUGGACUGACACUGACGCUGAGGUGCGAAAGCGUGGGUAGCAAACAGGAUUAGAUAUCCGAGUAGUC